rnacentral:ncRNA from 1 species
CAAAAGCUUGGUCCUAACUUUCUUGUCGGCUCUUACUAAGCUUACACAUGCAAGUCUCCGCAGACCUGUGAGAAUGCCCUUAACGUCCCCACCCAGGACACUAGGAGCUGGCAUCAGGCACAAAACUCUUUUGCCCAAAACGCCUUGCUUAGCCACACCCCCAAGGGACUUCAGCAGUGAUAAACCUUAAAGUAUGGGCGAAAGCCUGAAUUAGUAAAAGUAAAGAGGGCCGGCUAAACUCGUGCCAGCCGCCGCGGUUAUACGAGAGGCCCAAGUCGACACAUCCCGGCGUAAAGGGUGGUUAAGAAAAGAAAAAAUAUUAGAGAAAAACGCUCUUCAGGCUGUUAUACGCAACAAGAGUAAGAAUCCUCCACGCGAAAGUAACUCUAUACCAAUCUGAACCCACGAAAACUUUGGUACAAACUGGGAUUAGAUACCCCACUAUGCCAAGUUUUAAACUUAGAUAUCUUAAUACAAAAUAUAUCCGCCAGGGUACUACGAGCAAUAGCUUAAAACCCAAAGGACUUGGCGGUGCUUCAGACCCUCCUAGAGGAGCCUGUUCUAGAACCGAUAAUCCACGUUUAACCUCACCGCCUCUUGCCCUUUACCGCCUAUAUACCGCCGUCGCCAGCCUACCUUAUGAAAGACAAAAAAGUAAGCACAAUAGUUAAAAACAAGCACGUCAGGUCGAGGUGUAGCAUAUGAAGCGGGAAGAAAUGGGCUACAUUCUCUAAUCUAGAGAAUUAACGGAAGGAAUAAUGAAAACUUUUUCCUGAAGGCGGAUUUAGCAGUAAGCUAAUAUAGAAUAAUUAGCUGAAACCGGCUCUGAAGCGCGCACACACCGCCCGUCACUCUCCCCAAUGAAAAAAAUAAUAUCUAUAAAAAAACGAAAAACGAAGGGGAGGCAAGUCGUAACAUGGUAAGUGUACCGGAAGGUGCACUUGGACAAC